CGGACGGGUGAGUAAUGUCUGGGAAACUGCCUGAUGGAGGGGGAUAACUACUGGAAACGGUAGCUAAUACCGCAUAACGUCGCAAGACCAAAGAGGGGGACCUUCGGGCCUCUUGCCAUCGGAUGUGCCCAGAUGGGAUUAGCUAGUAGGUGGGGUAACGGCUUACCUAGGCGACGAUCCCUAGCUGGUCUGAGAGGAUGAUCAGCCACACUGGGACUGAGACACGGCCCAG
rnacentral:rRNA from 1 species